rnacentral:rRNA from 1 species
AGUCGAGGGGUAUAGUAGCAAUACUAGAGACCGGCGCACGGGUGCGUAACGCGUAUGCAAUCUGCCUUUCACAGAGGGAUAGCCCAGAGAAAUUUGGAUUAAUACCUCAUAGUAUAAUGAGUUGGCAUCAGCCCAUUAUUAAAGUCACAACGGUGAAAGAUGAGCAUGCGUCCCAUUAGCUAGUUGGUAAGGUAACGGCUUACCAAGGCGACGAUGGGUAGGGGUCCUGAGAGGGAGAUCCCCCACACUGGUACUGAGACACGGACCAGACUCCUACGGGAGGCAGCAGUGAGGAAUAUUGGUCAAUGGGCGCAAGCCUGAACCAGCCAUGCCGCGUGCAGGAUGACGGUCCUAUGGAUUGUAAACUGCUUUUGUACGGGAAGAAACAGCGAUUCGUGAAUCGCCUUGACGGUACCGUAAGAAUAAGGAUCGGCUAACUCCGUGCCAGCAGCCGCGGUAAUACGGAGGAUCCAAGCGUUAUCCGGAAUCAUUGGGUUUAAAGGGUCCGUAGGCGGUUUUGUAAGUCAGUGGUGAAAGCCCAUCGCUCAACGGUGGAACGGCCAUUGAUACUGCAAGACUUGAAUUAUUAGGAAGUAACUAGAAUAUGUAGUGUAGCGGUGAAAUGCUUAGAGAUUACAUGGAAUACCAAUUGCGAAGGCAGGUUACUACUAAUGGAUUGACGCUGAUGGACGAAAGCGUGGGUAGCGA